AAUAUUCCCGUACCGGACAUGGUUGCGAUGGGGGGACGAAGAAGGCUAGGUGAGCCAGGCGUUGGUUGUCCUGGUGAAAGUGAGUAGGCUUGGAUCUUAGGUAAAUCCGGGAUCCUUUAAGGCCGAGACACGAGAUGAACUGACCACGGUCAGGAAGUCACUGAUGCCACGCUUCCAGGAAAAGCCUCUAAGCUUCAGAUCAUGUGCGACCGUACCCCAAACCGACACAGGUGGUCAGGGUGAGAAUCCCAAGGCGCUUGAGAGAACUCGGGUGAAGGAACUAGGCAAAAUGGUGCCGUAACUUCGGGAGAAGGCACGCCGGCGUAGGGUGAUGAGACUUGCUCUCUAAGCCCGAACCGGUCGAAGAUACCAGGUGGCUGCAACUGUUUAUUAAAAACACAGCACUCUGCUAACGCGCAAGC
rnacentral:rRNA from 1 species